CACGUAGGGUGCGAGCGUUUGUCCGGAAUUAUUGGGCGUAAAGAGCUCGUAGGCGGUGUGUCGCGUCGGCCGUGAAAACUUGCAGCUUAACUGUGGGCGUGCGGUCGAUACGGGCAUCACUGGAGUUCGGCAGGGGAGACUGGAAUUCCUGGUGUAGCGGUGAAAUGCGCAGAUAUCAGGAGGAACACCGGUGGCGAAGGCGGGGUCUCUGGGCCGAUACUGACGCUGAGGAGCGAAAGCGUGGGGGAGCGAACAGG
rnacentral:rRNA from 1 species